UGGGGAAUAUUGGACAAUGGGCGAAAGCCUGAUCCAGCGACGCCGCGUGGGUGAAGAAGGCCUGCGGGUUGUAAAGCCCUUUCGGUAGGGACGAAAACCUUCGACUUAACACGUCGAGGGAUUGACUUAACCUACAUAAGAAGCACCGGCUAACUCUGUGCCAGCAGCCGCGGUAAUACAGAGGGUGCGAGCGUUAAUCGGAAUUACUGGGCGUAAAGCGCACGUAGGCGGCUCUGCAAGUCGGUUGUGAAAUCCCCGGGCUCAACCUGGGAACUGCGACCGAGACUGCAUUGCUAGAGUAUGGGAGAGGAAAGCGGAAUUUCUGGUGUAGCAGUGAAAUGCGUAGAUAUCAGAAGGAACAUCAGUGGCGAAGGCGGCUUUCUGGACCAAUACUGACGCUCAGGUGCGAAAGCGUGGGGAGCAA
rnacentral:rRNA from 1 species